rnacentral:miRNA from 1 species
CAUUAUGCUAGUGUUCGCGGG